rnacentral:rRNA from 1 species
GACGAACGCUGGCGGCGUGCUUAACACAUGCAAGUCGAACGGAAGGGCCCUGCUUUUGUGGGGUGCUCGAGUGGCGAACGGGUGAGUAACACGUGAGUAACCUGCCCUUGACUUUGGGAUAACUUCAGGAAACUGGGGCUAAUACCGGAUAGGAGCUCCUGCUGCAUGGUGGGGGUUGGAAAGUUUCGGCGGUUGGGGAUGGACUCGCGGCUUAUCAGCUUGUUGGUGGGGUAGUGGCUUACCAAGGCUUUGACGGGUAGCCGGCCUGAGAGGGUGACCGGCCACAUUGGGACUGAGAUACGGCCCAAACUCCUACGGGAGGCAGCAGUGGGGAAUAUUGCACAAUGGGCGGAAGCCUGAUGCAGCAACGCCGCGUGCGGGAUGACGGCCUUCGGGUUGUAAACCGCUUUCGCCUGUGACGAAGCGUGAGUGACGGUAAUGGGUAAAGAAGCACCGGCUAACUACGUG